CCAGACUCCUACGGGAGGCAGCAGUGGGGAAUAUUGCGCAAUGGGGGCAACCCUGACGCAGCAACGCCGCGUGCGGGACGAAGGCCUUCGGGUUGUAAACCGCUUUCAGCAGGGAAGAACCAUGACGGUACCUGCAGAAGAAGCCCCGGCUAACUACGUGCCAGCAGCCGCGGUAAUACGUAGGGGGCAAGCGUUAUCCGGAUUUACUGGGUGUAAAGGGGGCGCAGACGGCGAUGCAAGCCAGGAGUGAAAGCCCGGGGCCCAACCCCGGGACUGCUCUUGGAACUGCGUGGCUGGAGUGCAGGAGGGGCAGGCGGAAUUCCUGGUGUAGCGGUGAAAUGCGUAGAUAUCAGGAGGAACACCGGUGGCGAAGGCGGCCUGCUGGACUGCAACUGACGUUGAGGCCCGAAAGCGUGGGGAGCAAACAGGAUUAGAUACCCUAGUA
rnacentral:rRNA from 1 species